rnacentral:pre_miRNA from 15 species
AAGUCCAGCACUCUCCAGUCUCCUACCUUGCGCGCUAAUCAGUGACCGGGGCUGGUUUUUGCAACAGUCAGGUACCUGAAGUAGCGCGCGUGGUGGCAGACAUAUAUCCGCCAUACAAAA